AUGAUGAUGAUGAUGAUGAUGAUGUUGAAUAUUGAUGCAUAUCGGAGGGAAGGGCGGAGCUAUAGCCGGAGGGAUGGCAUUGAAGGAGGGAGCAGGGGAUACGUAUUGCUGAAGAUCGCGCGACCAAAGGGAGUAUGCAGGCCGCCGGAAUUGGAUGUUGGUCAGAGUGAGAUGUCGCAGUCGCCGGAGUUGGUGGUGACCGGAACUGAGUGUCGAAGCUUGCUGGAAUGGCAGGGAGAAGACGGCGAGAGUGUGUUGCGAAAGAGAGAUAGCGGAGGAGAUAUAUGUGCACGGGAGGAAGGACGGAGAAGGAUCUGA